AUGGAGCUGGGUCUGUACUUGUGAGCAGGUGAUCUGAGUUGACAGGCUGGUACUAGGGCAGGAGAUGGGGGUGUUUGUUUUGCAGGGGGAGGGGCAAGGUGUGAGGGAGCCUCUGCCUCUUAACCACAUUUCUCUCACUUCUUGCUCCGCUCUGCCUCCCUCCCCCGCUCCCAUCCCCAUGCAAUCUGGACACUUAAAGCCAGAUUUUUUCAUAGCUGAGCCGCUUUGGGGAUCUUUGAAGUGUCCCACCGGGAGCUGCUGGGUGCUGAGUACUCGAUGUGGCUUUUAGGGAGGUGAUUACAUGAGACAAGAAUCCAGGCCUCCAAAUCCUGGCCCUUAAUUCUUAGUGGGUGGAGCUGAAUUGGGAUUGCAGCCUCAGAUCUCUAUCAAUAACAGGGUGCAUCUCACAGCAGAUCUGCCCUUCCCUUCCGCAGCUCCCAGGGGUGCUGGGCUGAGGGAUGAGUCUGUGGGGGAACCCAGAGCUAGAGUGGCAGGAGCAGUUUGUCGCCCUUUCCACGGAGCGUAUUGCACCCAUCCCAUUCACAAUAUGGCAGUCCUGGGUCCACUAUACCCAGCUUUGCUGGUGCCCUAUAGUUCUUGUAGCUCUGGGCUCCCCUCCUCACCCAGUGGCCCUCAAUCCCAAUCAGAGCUCUGCCAAUUCCCCUUAAUCCUGACCCAUGUUCCCCUCUGCUAUUCCAGCCCCAGGCUCCACCCCCCACCUGCUCUGCGGAUGCCCCUGUGUCCUGACUUUCAGUCCCCACUUCUUACUUCAAGCCCUGGGCUUCCCCGAACUUUGCUUAUGCCCCUCAACCCUGACCCACAGUCCCCACAGCUGUUCCAGCCCAGCUCUGCCAGUGGCCCUCAGUCCUGACCUGCAGCCCUCUGCCAUCCAUGCCCUGAGCUCUUCUGGUGCCCCUCCAUCCCCACCUGCAGCCUUCUGCUGUCCCAGCCCUGAGCUACCCCGCCCGCAGCCAGCAUUGGCGCUACUCCUGCUUCCAGACCUGCAACACACCCGCUGACUUCCACUGCUUCCUUUCCAGGUGAAAUCACCAGCUUCCACAAGAGCAGUUUAGGAUCCACUUGUCACUAAUACACCUUUUCCCUCUAGGGCUCGGAGACUGUCCCCUCUAUACCCUGUCUGUGCCUGAAGGCUCCUCUGGGCAUGUUGAAAUUACCAUACCGAAGGAUAUAUCUACUUUGUGUAAGAUGCAAACCACCACCUCUGCCUCCUCUGACUGCUCGUAACUACAUCAUGGCUUUAAAUCAAGGAACCCCAAAGUACUACAACAGCACAUACCGGGGAUGGAUCGCUCUAUCAGACCAGCUCCUCUUUACUGUGACGAAUGCACGUGAAUGGAUGGCCGGAGAAUACCAAGUCGUUAGUGUCCUUUAUGAAACCUGCAUGGCUCAUAUCAAUCUGACGGUGCCUGGUCCCGUCUCGUUACCGCCUGUAUCGGAGACCUCCUCUGCCAGAGAGGAGACUGCCAAUGCAGCUGGAGAGGGAAGUAGCCGAGGGACACUUUCCAACCGCUCUCCGGAGGGGGAUCAGCAAGUUGAGAUGGGAGCUUCCUGGCAGCAGCUGCCUCCAUCCCCCCCC